UGCUGGAUGCGCAAAAGGUAUAGCGGCCGCGAAAGCGGUGAUUAUGGGUUCGAUUCCCAUUCCAGGAACCA
rnacentral:tRNA from 1 species